GGGUGCGAUAAUGCCAGCACUAAAUCACCGAAUCCCAUCAAAACUCCGAAGUUAAGCGUGCUUGGGCCAGAGUAGUACUAGGAUGGGUGACCCCCUGGGAAGUGUUGAAUCUCGGAUUUU
rnacentral:rRNA from 15 species